rnacentral:rRNA from 1 species
AGAGUUUGAUCCUGGCUCAGAUUGAACGCUGGCGGCAUGCCUUACACAUGCAAGUCGAACGGUAACGCGGGGCAACCUGGCGACGAGUGGCGAACGGGUGAGUAACGCAUCGGAACGUGCUCAGUAGUGGGGGAUAGCCCGGCGAAAGCCGGAUUAAUACCGCAUACGACCUCAGGGUGAAAGCGGGGGAUCGCAAGACCUCGCGCUAUUGGAGCGGCCGAUGUCAGAUUAGGUAGUUGGUGGGGUAAAAGCCUACCAAGCCUGCGAUCUGUAGCUGGUCUGAGAGGGCGACCAGCCACACUGGGACUGAGACACGAGCCCAGACUCCUACUGCGGAGGCAGCAGUGGGGAAUUUUGGACAAUGGGCGAAAGCCUGAUCCANGCCAUGCCGGCGUGCGGGAAGAAGGCCUUCGAGGUUGUAAACCGCUUUUGUCGGGGAAAGAAAACGUCGCGACCUAAUACGUCGCGGUAAUGACCGGUACCUGAAGAAUAAGCACCGGCCUAACUACGUGCCAAGCAGCCCGCGGUAAUACGUAGGGGUGCAAGCGUUAAUCGGAAUUACUGGGCGUAAAGCGUGCGCAGGCGGUCAUGCAAGACAGAUGUGAAAUCCCCGAGCUCAACUUGGGAACUGCAUUUUGUGACUGCAUGGCUUGAGUGCGGCAGAGGGGGAUGGAAUUCCGCGUGUAGCAGUGAAAUGCGUAGAUAUGCGGAGGAACACCGAUGGCGAAGGCAAUCCCCUGGGCCUGCACUGACGCUCAUGCACGAAAGCGUGGGGAGCAAACAGGAUUAGAUACCCUGGUAGUCCACGCCCUAAACGAUGUCAACUGGUUGUUGGAGGGGUUUCUCUUCAGUAACGAAGCUAACGCGUGAAGUUGACCGCCUGGGGAGUACGGCCGCAAGGUUGAAACUCAAAAGGAAUUGACGGGGACCCGCACAAGCGGUGGGAUGAUGUGGUUUAAUUCGAUGCAACGCGAAAAACCUUUACCUACCCUUGACAUGUCAGGAACUUUGGCAGAGAUGCGAAGGUGNCUCGNAAAGAGAGCCUGAACACAGGUGCUGCAUGGCCGUCGUCAGCUCGUGUCCGUGAGAUGUUGGGUUAAGUCCCGCAACGAGCGCAACCCUUGCCAUUAGUNUGCCCANCGAAAGGGCACUCUAGUGAGACUGCCGGUGACAAACCGGAGGAAGGUGGGGAUGACGUCAGGUCCUCAUGGCCCUUAUGGGUAGGGCUACACACGUCAUACAAUGGCCGGUACAGAGGGUUGCCAACCCGCGAGGGGGAGCCAAUCCCACAAAGCCGGUCGUAGUCCGGAUCGUAGUCUGCAACUCGACUACGUGAAGUCGGAAUCGCUAGUAAUCGCGGAUCAGCUUGCCGCGGUGAAUACGUUCCCGGGUCUUGUACACACCGCCCGUCA